UGCAAGUCGAGCGAUGAAAUCUUAACAGAACCCUUCGGGGCGAAGAUAAGAUGGAUUAGCGGCGGACGGGUGAGUAACACGUGAGUAACCUGCCUUUUACACAGGGAUAGCCUCGGGAAACCGGGAUUAAAACCUGAUGAAACUAUCAAAUCACAUGAUUAAGAAAGUUAAAACUCCGGUGGUAAAAGAUGGACUCGCGUCCCAUUAGCUAGUUGGUGAAGGUAACGGCCCACCAAGGCAACGAUGGGUAGCCGGCCUGAGAGGGUGAACGGCCACAUUGGAACUGAGAAACGGUCCAAACUCCUACGGGAGGCAGCAGUGGGGAAUAUUGCACAAUGGGGGAAACCCUGAUGCAGCGACGCCGCGUGAGCGAAGAAGGCCUUCGGGUCGUAAAGCUCUUUUAUAUGGGAAGAUAAUGACGGUACCAUAAGAAAAAGCUCCGGCUAACUACGUGCCAGCAGCCGCGGUAAUACGUAGGGGGCUAGCGUUGUCCGGAAUCACUGGGCGUAAAGGGUUCGCAGGCGGCAAUGCAAGUCAGAUGUAAAAGGCAAAGGCUCAACCUUUGUAAGCAUCUGAAACUGUAUAGCUUGAGAAGUGUAGAGGCAAGUGGAAUUUUUAGUGUAGCGGUGAAAUGCGUAGAUAUUAAAAAGAAUACCGGUGGCGAAGGCGACUUGCUGGGCACAAUCUGACGCUGAGGAACGAAAGCGUGGGGAGCAAACAGGAUUAGAUACCCUGGUAGUCCACGCCGUAAACGAUGAGUGCUAGGUGUCGGUAUAAAUCGGUGCCGCAGUUAACACAAUAAGCACUCCGCCUGGGGAGUACGUGCGCAAGC
rnacentral:rRNA from 1 species